GAGAGUUUGAUCUUGGCUCAGGAUGAACGCUAGCGGCGUGGAUAAGGCAUGCAAGUCAUGGGGUCCUUCGAAGCUCGCAAGAGCGGAGGAGGAAACCGGCGAACGGGUUAGUAACACGUAGAUACAUACCGUCGAGACAGGAAUAAUCCCGCGAAAGCGGGACUAAUACCUGAUAGUCCCUGAGAGAAAAUCUUAAGGGUAAAGGUUUUGUAAAAAGCCGCUCGGCGAAUGGUCUGCGGCCUAUCAGCUUGUUGGUGAGGUAACGGCUCACCAAGGCUAUGACGGGUAGGGGGAGUGAGAGCUUGUUCCCCAACAUAGGCACUGCGACACGGGCCUAACUCCUACGGGAGGCAGCAGUCGAGAAUAUUGGUCAAUGGGGGAAACCCUGAACCAGUGACGCCGCGUGCUUGAAGAAGCCCUUCGGGGUGUAAAGAGCUUUUCUGGGGGAAGAACCGAGCACAUAAUUCGUUAUGUGCUUGGUGACGGUACUCCAGGAAUAAAAGGGUGCUAAUCACGUGCCAGCAGCCGCGGUAAUACGUGACCCUUAAGCGUUAUCCGGAUUUAUUGGGCGUAAAGAGUCUGUAGGUGGUCUGGAAAGUCUUUGGUUAAAUACCCGGGGCUUAACCUUGGGGAUGCUGAAGAUACUUCUAGACUAGAGGGUGUUAGAGGGGAGCGGAACGGUCGGUGUAGGGGUGAAAUCCGUUGAUAUCGACCGGAACACCAAAUGCGAAGGCAGCUCCCUGGGGCAACCCUGACACUGAGAGACGAAAGCGUGGGGAGCAAAAAGGAUUAGAUAAAUCCUUGUCCCGCUAAGCGGGACUAAAUGGUGUCCUCCAUAUUGGCGACAAUGUGGUGAGCAUCUAGCUGUAUCGGGGAAACCCAUUUUAGUCGAAUGGGCAAUCCCGAGGGAAGUCGCGUCUUUUAAAGAUAGCGACCCCGUAGAGACUAUGUAAAUCAAAAAGAUAGAAAAUGAGAAAUUCAUUUUUGUCUAAAAAUUGCAAAGAUAUUAUUCUUGGUUCUUUGUUAGGAGAUGGUUCGUUAAAGAUUAAUGACCAUUAUAAAAAUGCUCGUUUUUCUUUUCGCCAUUCCAUUAACCAAAAAGAAUAUUUUUUCUGGAAAAAGAGUGAAUUAAAAGAAAUUUCCGGAGAAAAUUGUUUUUGGAAAUCAGAGAUUAAAGAUGGGCUUGGCGGUCAAAAAUUACGAUAUCAAAGCUUAACAAUACCAGAAUUAACAGAGUUAUAUAAUUUAACUCACAAAAAGGGGAUAUUUAAAAUCAGCCGCAAAUGGCUUAACACAAUAACUCCUUUAUCUUUAGCAAUAUGGUGGCUUGACGACGGUUCCAUAAUAGGGAACGGGAGAAAGGGCGUAUUUUGCACCGACCAUUUUCCUUACGAAGAACAAAAAAUAUUAUCCCACUAUUUAAAGAAAGUGUGGGAUAUAAAUGUUCAUAUCGGUAAAAUAAUUAGAAAAUGGGCGAACGAAGAAAAAAUAUAUUAUCGCUUAUGGAUUCGUUCAAGCGAAGAGCUUAAAAAGUUUUUGCGGAUUAUAAUGCCGCAUAUAAAAGUAGCAGAAAUGCUACCGAAGGUCUUGAUUAUUUAUAAAGACCGUGAUUUACAACAACGCUGGAUUUCUGAAGUUAGUGAAUUAACAGGUUUUUCUAAAGCAAUAAUAGAAAAGUGCGUUGCUAAAAAGAAAAAUAAGUGGAAAAACUUCAGAAAAUGAUAUAGUCCGAUCCUUCGAGUAAUCGAAGAAAGUAAAAAAUCUACAAGAUGACCCUUGUAGUCCACGCUGUAAACGAUGGACACUAGCUAUUUGAAGUGUCGACCCUUCAAGUGGCGAAGCUAACACAUUAAGUGUCCCGCCUGGGAAGUACGGCGGCAACGCUAAAACUCAAAAGAAUAGACGGGGACUCACACAAGCGGUGGACCAUGUGGCUUAAUUCGACAACAAACGAGGAACCUUACCAGGGCUUGACAAGCUAGUGAAAAUCUCGAGAAAUCGGGAAAUACCCACAAGGACACUAGCCCAGGUGCU
rnacentral:rRNA from 1 species